CAAACCUACUCCCUCUGACCAAGUGGCUCUACACAUUUUCUUCUAACACAUAGCAACUGGAAGUUCACUUCAAAUGCCCGAAUCUACUUAGAAGAAUUGUGAGACAUCAGUCCUACCUGACAUGAAUAUUGGAAGGUGUUUAUAUUACAACAUUUAUGUUCUUUUGGAAUCUUGUGGAAUACCUUGAACCUGCUCUGCAUCAUAAGACAUGAACCGUUCCUGAAUUUUCUAUUUAUUCUGAUGAUCUUUCUCCUCUGACAUCCGGAUCCCAAGACCUCCCUCUCUGAGGAUGCGAGGAGAUCUCAGAUGUUAUCAGCCUGCUGUGACCAAAGGAGAAAAAGAUAUUAUACUUCUCAUCAAAAUAUCAUUGUUCUGUUCUAAUCUGUGGCACCAGAAACUAAUGUGAUCACCUAAUGACUGGAUCCCAAAUCUAAAGCUUUCCAUCAAGUUUUCAAAUAAGGAACAAUCCCAUCAUUUUAAACUCAGAGCAAAAUAUCCAAAAAGAACAUUAAAGAGACAGUUAUGCUGUGGACACAAACAUUGUUGCCUAAACUCCCUAGGAUGACAAGAUAAUAUGGACAUGACUUUGUUGUUGUUUUUAAUAUUGUUAUAUUCUACUAGAUUCUGCAUUUGUUUAAGUUUAGACAAUAAUUAGUUGAAAAUUUUUGUUAUUCAUUUCCCACCAUUAAAUAUCAGCAACCAUAUUGAUAGAUUUUAAUUUUUAAUGCAAA